AUUGAACGCUGGCGGCAUGCCUUACACAUGCAAGUCGAACGGCAGCACGGGAGCAAUCCUGGUGGCGAGUGGCGAACGGGUGAGUAAAGUAUCGGAACGUGCCCAGUCGUGGGGGAUAACGUAGCGAAAGUUACGCUAAUACCGCAUACGAUCUAUGAAUGAAAGCGGGGGAUCGCAAGACCUCGCGCGAUGGGAGCGGCCGAUAUCAGAUUAGGUAGUUGGUGGGGUAAAGGCUCACCAAGCCGACGAUCUGUAGCUAGUCUGAGAGGACGACCAGCCACACUGGGACUGAGACACGGCCCAGACUCCUACGGGAGGCAGCAGUGGGGAAUUUUGGACAAUGGGCGAAAGCCUGAUCCAGCCAUGCCGCGUGCAGGAUGAAGGCCUUCGGGUUGUAAACUGCUUUUGUACGGAACGAAAAGGUUUGGCCUAAUAAGCUGAGCUCAUGACGGUACCGUAAGAAUAAGCACCGGCUAACUACGUGCCAGCCGCCGCCGUAA
rnacentral:rRNA from 1 species